rnacentral:rRNA from 1 species
GCAAUUUCGGGUCUUACCAUGCAAGUCGGACGAGGAUCAUCGGGUUAGCAAUAAUUCGGCGGUCCUAGUGGCGUACGGGUGAGUAACACGUGGGUAACCUGCCCUUGAGACCGGGAUACCCUCUCGAAAGGGAGGCUAAUACUGGAUACGUUCCCCGGGGCGCAAGACCUGGGGAGGAAAAGGUGGCGAAAGCUGCCGCUCUUGGAGGGGCUCGCGGCCUAUCAGCUAGUUGGUGAGGUAACGGCUCACCAAGGCUAUGACGGGUAGCUGGUCUGAGAGGACGACCAGCCACACGGGAACUGAGACACGGUCCCGACUCCUACGGGAGGCAGCAGUGGGGAAUUUUCCGCAAUGGGCGAAAGCCUGACGGAGUGACGCCGCGUGGGGGACGAAGGCCUUCGGGUUGUAAACCCCUGUCAGAGGGAAAGAAGGGUGCUGGCGUGAAUAGCGCUGGCAUCUGACGGUACCUUCAGAGGAAGCCCCGGCCAACUCUGUGCCAGCAGCCGCGGUAAGACAGAGGGGGCAAGCGUUGCUCGGAAUCACUGGGCGUAAAGGGCGCGUAGGCGGGAUGGCAAGUCGGUCGUGAAAUCCUUCGGCUCAACCGAAGAACGUCGGCCGAUACUGCCGUUCUUGAGGGAUGCAGAGGAGAUUGGAAUUCCCGGUGUAGCGGUGAAAUGUGUAGAGAUCGGGAGGAACACCGGUGGCGAAGGCGGGUCUCUGGGCAUCUCCUGACGCUGAGGCGCGAAAGCGUGGGGAGCAAACGGGAUUAGAUACCCCGGUAGUCCACGCUGUAAACGAUGACGACUAGGUGUGGGGGGGGGUUAGUCCUUUCCGUGCCGCAGCUAACGCAUUAAGUCGUCCGCCUGGGGAGUACGGCCGCAAGGUUGAAACUCAAAGGAAUUGACGGGGGCCCGCACAAGCGGUGGAGCAUGUGGGUUCAAUUCGAUGCAGAGCGAAGGACCUUACCUGGGCUUGACAUGCUGGAAGUAGAAACCCGGAAAGGGGGACGACC